UCUCUGAGCCCACCAGCGUUUUCCGGUACCUCACACUGUUCUCAAGGCAGAUCCUGAGGUGCCAUGAGUAAAGAGAGAUAUGAUGCUCGGUUACGCUGGAAGAGCAUGUGGGAAGGAGAGAGAGUAAUAAUGGCAAUGUGCACUCCUCCCCAUGCUACCCACCAUGUUGUUCUGCUUUUCCCUGGGCCAAAAAGUAAUGCAAGCAAACCACUGUGGACUAAAUCUGCUGAAACUAUUCAAAUCAGACCAUCACUCGUUGGCUUAUUCAGGUAUCGGGGCUUGUAUUGUGGACGUAUGGACACCUCAUGGUUCGUUAUUUCCUGCAUUUUGACCAGUUGUAACUUUCCAUCUGCUACAAAAAAGAAACUUCUUUGAUGAUAGAUCACCGCUAUGUGUCAGAGGCAUCUCAGCUGGGUGGGACAAUUGAUUGACUCCUUCCCAGGAUUUGAAGGCAAGACUCUGUUGCUGAAGAUCACUUUGGACACAGAACAUGAAGGAGUCAAACUGGAUCUGACCUGGAAGCCUCCUCCCUGCCCUAAAAACCAAAACACUGUGUAGCCUUGGCUGUCCUGGAACUCACUCUGUAGAACAGGUUGGCCUCAAACUCAUAGAGAUCUGCCUGCCUGUGCCUCCCAAGUGCAGGGAUUAAAGGAAUGCACCACCACUGCCUGGCCCACUUUAAUAUCUUAUCAACCCUCUAACCAUGGUCCCAAGGGAAGUAUAUUAAUUCUGAGUAAGGGUAACAUUCUCAAUGACUUAAAUAA